AGGAAAUUUCACUGAACUGGCUAUGAUUUCAUCUGCAGUUAUUUACAGCCAAAGCAAUCUUUUGCUAAGCAAUACAUUUUCUGACCAUUUCUGCUUCUAGUAGAGGAUCUUUUCCAGGAGUCCUCACACAAGCCACCUCCCUACUGACUUGAUCUGCAGGAUCAAGUCCAAGAGGCACUUGCAGUGUUUCAGUGGUAAGAGUGGUCCAGCUGGGAGCUUACAAGGCUGAUGGACAGAAAAACCCUGCAAGGUGGAUCUCUGCUUGCUGGCUUUGCUGCUUGUGGCACAAGAGUGCCCUGUAAGAUCUCAUCCACCUGUGGAUGGAUGUGCAUGUCUCCCUGUGGAGGCAGAGUACACUCCCCAGGCUCUCCUUGCUGGUGAGACUGGAAUGAUCUGAAUUUCAGCUGGGCAUUAGCUGCAGUACAAGUGAGACAGUGCUGCAGAGAGACAGAGAUUUGCUGAAAAUAGAACUGCAGAUAUUACAGAGGGCGUCCUGGAUGAGGUGCAGGAUCCCCUUGCCUACAGCUUGCAGCGCCUCUGCAGCCUGCUCCCCACAGCCAUGGGUGCAACAUCUCAGGAUGGGAGCUAGGCUCAGGGAAAGCACACAUCCUUGUGGUCUCUGGGCACUCCCAGUCUCCCUGUGCUCCUCCUCGCAGCCAGCUUGGGGGAGGAGGCAGAGCUGGUUAUUACCCCAGCUGUGAAAAGAGGGCUGGGACACCUUGGGACUGUGCAGCUCUCCCAAGGGUCUGGUGUGCACUCAUGUGCCAGGGGGUGUGUCCCAAAUCCUGGCCCACUGGCAAGGUCAGAAGGCCCCGCAAGCCAAAGGAGUCCUGGCUUUUAAGCACACGGUUGUUUCCUGUCCCAGUAUUAAAUAAUACUGCAGUAUUAUUUAAUUUCAGUGCUUUCCGGAAAUGUAGCUUUUGCUAAUCGUUAUUUUUCUAGGAGAAGAGUGCCCUUUGGUCCUUUACUUCUAUGGUGCUGCAUUUUUCUGAUAAUCCCUAUCCCUUUUGGAGCACACCAGCUCCUGGGGGUGGACCAAAUCUCCUCCUAAGCAGCAUACUUGCCUGACACUUCUAACUGCUCCAUGCACACCUCGUGCUUGCUGCCUGCACCCAAGCACAAAACUCAGCUAAAGCCACACGCGGCUUGCCCCUGAUUAGCCAAAAGACUGUGAGCACUGGCUUUGGCUGAGCAGGAGCUACUGAAAGAAAGACCAAAGCCUAGCAAAGCCCAACAGCUUUCCUUGGAUCCCUACUUGGCAGUGGAGGGGUGGAGGCAAGCGCGGUGCGUGGGCUGCAAAGAGGUGAAACCUGCAUCCCUGCCCUGUGCAGGGGCGUGUGUGCAGUUGUCCUGCAACCCAGACGUGGGCUCUGAUAACGCAGAGCUAAUGUGAUUUAUGAGGUUCCAGAGAUGAGCAUUUGGCCUAAGAUGUAA